rnacentral:rRNA from 1 species
AACGAACGCUGGCGGCAGGCCUAACACAUGCAAGUCGAGCGCUCCGCAAGGGGAGCGGCAGACGGGUGAGUAACGCGUGGGAACCUAGCCUACGGUCGGGAAUAGCUCAGGGAAACUUGGGGUAAUACCGGAUACGCCCUUACGGGAAAGAUUUAUCGCCGUUGGAUGGGCCCGCGUCGGAUUAGCUAGUUGGUGAGGUAAUGGCUCACCAAGGCGACGAUCCGUAGCUGGUCUGAGAGGANGAUCAGCCACACUGGGACUGAGACACGGCCCAGACUCCUACGGGAGGCAGCAGUGGGGAAUAUUGGACAAUGGGCGCAAGCCUGAUCCAGCCAUGCCGCGUGAGUGACGAAGGCC